rnacentral:rRNA from 1 species
UGCGUAGGCGGUUAUCUAAGUCACGUGUGAAAUCUUCUGGCUCAACCAGAAAACUGCGCGUGAUACUGGAAAACUUGAGUGAGGUAGGGGUGUGUGGAACUUCCGGUGGAGCGGUGAAAUGUGUAGAGAUCGGAAGGAACGCCAGCAGCGAAAGCGGCACACUGGGCCUUUUCUGACGCUGAGGCACGAAAGCUAGGGGAGUGAACG